GAUUGGUCAAGCCUGAGUCAUGUGUUCAACCUCAAGCCAAUCACUGUAGUCAGGGGAGCAGAGUUCUCUGGCCAUGCCUCCCUGAUGGGAGUCCACCUGAACCGUGGACUGAGAAUGAAAAGGGUGAUUUCUCACAGAGAUACUGGACAGUCAAAACAUGUCCAUCACAGCUUCUUCUUUCUUUCUCUAUGGACCAGUUUUCUGUGUUUUCAGUCAGUAUGGUAGAAGAAAUAUUGCUAUGCCCAGCUCAAGUUUUACUUUCUCUCUAUUCAAGAACACUAGAAGUCCCUGGGAGACUCUGACUAGUGAAGCUCAUACAACUAACUGUGAUGGUGGAGAUGAGGAUAGUCUUAAAGGUAACACGGUUGCAACAGACUCAUCUAUGCGAAUAUAAAGACUCUUCCUUCUGCAGCAAGUAGAAGGCAUGACUGAAGCAACUCAAGUCUACAUCAUCCCAGCUUCGCAAUCUCCCAAGAGAACAAGAGCCCCAGUUGGCCAACAUCUGAACAUAAAUUCUCAUCAGUCCACCUUCAUAAGCAGACGGGGAGGGUCUCCAGGGAUAACAGGAAUUUAACCAACUUCAGCAAUGAGCCUGGUUUACAGCCUCCUGCCCUGCAGCCUGUUCUUCCACAAACCCUGGGUAAAAUGCAGUCACCUUGUUGGUUUAAACCAGCUCUUGACAGACCCCCGGCAACAUACAGAUGAACGCAAGUGAACUUUCUCAUGACCACGCUAAAGUCUCCACCCUGGGCAACCUGUAGCUUCAUUACCAUGACAUGCAACCUAUGCGCUGACGUAAUGACUCACUGCAUCUGUGCAACUAGACCUCUCCUCGUCAUGCAAUGAUGCUCCCUGUCUCCUCUCCAUUGCGCCAUAAAACCCUCCUGUCACUUUCCCUCGGAAAGACACUGCUUUGGAGAAUACCCCCAGUGUCACCCUUACUUGAGUUAAAUAAAACUCCUAUUGAUCAAAGACA
ensembl:lncRNA novel transcript